rnacentral:rRNA from 1 species
UACGUGAGGGCGCAAGCGUUGUCCGGAAUUAUUGGGCGUAAAGAGCUUGUAGGCGGUUUGUCGCGUCUGCUGUGAAAUUUCGGGGCUCAACCCCGAACUUGCAGUGGGUACGGGCAGACUAGAGUGUGGUAGGGGAGACUGGAAUUCCUGGUGUAGGCGGUGAAAUGCGCAGAUAUCAGGAGGAACACCGAUGGCGAAGGCAGGUCUCUGGGCCACUACUGACGCUGAGAAGCGAAAGCAUGGGGAGCGAACAGG